CAAUAGCGUAUAUUAAAGUUGUUGCAGUUAAAAAGCUCGUAGUUGGAUUUCUGGUGGGAGCGAUCGGUCUGGCGCUUAGCGCGAGUACUUGCAUCGUCUCCGGCCAUCCUUGGGGAAAGUCUGUCUGGCAUUAAGUUGUCGGGCAGAGGAUCCUCAUCGUUUACUGUGAAAAAAUUAGAGUGUUCAAAGCAGGCUUAUGCCGUUGAAUAUAUUAGCAUGGAAUAAUAAGAUAGGACUUUGGUACUAUUUUGUUGGUCUGCGCACCAAAGUAAUGAUUAAUAGGGACAGUUGGGGGUAUUCGUAUUCCGUUGUCAGAGGUGAAAUUCUUGGAUUUACGGAAGACGAACUACUGCGAAAGCAUUUACCAAGGAUGUUUUCAUUAA
rnacentral:rRNA from 1 species